UACGUAGGGCGCAAGCGUUGUCCGGAAUUAUUGGGCGUAAAGAGCUCGUAGGCGGCUUGUCACGUCGGUUGUGAAAGCCCGGGGCUUAACCCCGGGUCUGCAGUCGAUACGGGCAGGCUAGAGUGUGGUAGGGGAGAUCGGAAUUCCUGGUGUAGCGGUGAAAUGCGCAGAUAUCAGGAGGAACACCGGUGGCGAAGGCGGAUCUCUGGGCCAUUACUGACGCUGAGGCGCGAAAGCUAGGGGAGCGAACAGG
rnacentral:rRNA from 1 species